UACGAGAGGCCCAAACGUUAUUCGGAUUUACUGGGCUUAAAGAGUUCGUAGGCGGCGCAGAAAGUAGGGUGUGAAAGCCCUCGGCUCAACCGAGGAAUUGCGCUCUAAACUACUGUGCUUGAGGAACCUAGAGGUGAGCAGAACUGGUGGUGGAGCGGUGAAAUGCGUAGAGAUCCGGAGGAACACCAAAGGCGAAGGCAGUGUCCUGGGGAGUACCUGACGCUCAGGUGCGAAAGCCAGGGGAGCGAACGGG
rnacentral:rRNA from 1 species